AAAAACAUAGCCUUGCGUAACGAUGUAAGGUAAGCCCUGCCCAGUGAGAAAUUAAAUGGCCGCAGUACCCUGACUGUGCUAAGGUAGCGUAAUCAGUUGGCUUUUAAAUGGAGUCGAGAAUGAAUGGGUCCAUGGGGGGCGGCUGUCUCGUUUUCGUUAAGUCGAACUUAUUUAGCAGGUGAAAAUACCUGCGAGCAGAAAAAAGACGAGAAGACCCUUAGAGUCUUGAUAAAAAGGUUUGGGUAAAUCCGGCGUUUUUGUUGGGGCGACAGUGAGGCAGAUUUUAACCCUCAGUAAAUAGAGAUAGCAGGACGAAAGUGAUAAGGAAGAUAAGAUUACCUUAGGGAUAACAGCAUAAUCUUAAAAUUAGCUUUGUGACCUCGAUGUUGGACUAGGAACUUUAUGACUAGCCGUCAUAAGAGUAAGUUCUGUUCGAACUUCGCGCUCCUACGUGAUCUG
rnacentral:rRNA from 1 species